rnacentral:rRNA from 1 species
CACUCCUGCGGGAGGCAGCAGUGGGGAAUUUUGGACAAUGGGCGAAAGCCUGAUCCAGCAAUGCCGCGUGAGUGAAGAAGGCCUUCGGGUUGUAAAGCUCUUUUGUCAGGGAAGAAACGGUGAGAGCUAAUAUCUUUUGCUAAUGACGGUACCUGAAGAAUAAGCACCGGCUAACUACGUGCCAGCAGCCGCGGUAAUACGUAGGGUGCAAGCGUUAAUCGGAAUUACUGGGCGUAAAGCGUGCGCAGGCGGUUUUGUAAGUCUGAUGUGAAAUCCCCGGGCUCAACCUGGGAAUUGCAUUGGAGACUGCAAGGCUAGAAUCUGGCAGAGGGGGGUAGAAUUCCACGUGUAGCAGUGAAAUGCGUAGAUAUGUGGAGGAACACCGAUGGCGAAGGCAGCCCCCUGGGUCAAGAUUGACGCUCAUGCACGAAAGCGUGGGGAGCAAACAGGAUUAGAAACCCUAGUAGUCCCAUGA